rnacentral:lncRNA from 1 species
GGACAAGACAUAGAUGUUCCUGAAAUUACAUUAAAUAGUACACUUCUGUUGUCGCUCUUGAUCUUGGAUGGGCUCACUGUCGGCGGCCAGGCGGCCAGUAUGUUCACGCCCGGAGCUGUCACAUCGGGCUUGAUCACAUAAGGUUCUUUAAGUGCAGGGCCUCUUGAGGAGAAUGAUGCCAUCACAGGUGCCGGCUUGCCGAACACUGUCCCUUUGAAAACAAUGGAAGCAGUGGGAUUCCCCGAGCUGGUAUAGUUUCUUAUGGAUAUAGAUGCUGAGGCCCCCAGAGCAGAGGCUGGUAAAACAUGUGGAUCAACCCGAAUUUCCUCACCCUGAGAUGCAGUGUUCAGCAGUAGCAUUCCAGCUCCACCUGCCUUUUCCACUUCUUGUCCCUUUUCAACCCCUCCGUUGAUGCCUCGCUCACAUACAACAAUCUUCCCUUUAACCAGAGCUGGGGAGAGUGUGCCACUACUGCAGUACUUGGCUAUUGCCCUGCCUGCAGAUUCACCAUAAACAAGCGGCAGUUGCUCAGUUGACUUUCCUGAAUAUAAUGAUUCCCCUUCAAAAGUUUGUCCGUUACCAAGAUUAACUAUGGCAGGGAAGCUUCUAUCCAUGGUGCUUGCAGCAACGGUCAUCAUCCAUGGUGCUGCAUUGACGACAGUUGAACUGGAAGGGCCUGAAUUUCCAGCAGCGGCAGCAACGAAAACCCCAUGUUGGACUGCCCCCAAGGAUGCAAUAGCCAAGACAUCAGUAUAGUAAGGCUUUGAGGAUCCUCCAAUGGAGAGUGACAAGACAUCAACCCCAUCGGAAACAGCCUGGUCUAUUGCUGCUAAUAUAUCGGAGGAAGCGCAACCACGAGAAUAGCAAGCUUUGUAUUCAGCGAUUCUUGCUGUAGAGCUCAUUCCAGCGGCGACGCCCUUGGCCAUACCGAAAAGGCUAGCGCCAUCUAUCAUCUGGCCAGCUGCGGUUGAUGCAGUGUGAGUUCCAUGGCCUUGGGAGUCCCUAGCAGAUCGGAAGUCCACCGUUUCAUCUAUUUUCCCAGCUGCGGCCUCGUAGCCCUUGUAGUAGGCUCUUGCGCCUAUAAGCUUCAUGUUGCAAUUUUUAGCUGUGAAUCUUGUGCCUUCCUCGCAAACACCCUUCCAUCGAGAGGGCACCGGCCGUUUCAUGCCCCCAUCCUUGAAACUAGCAUGUUCAGGCCAGAUUCCAGAAUCGACAAAGCCGAUUAUCACAUCGUUCGCCAAGUUGCGUGAAGUCAAUAGUCCUUCUCCGAAUUUCAGGCCAAGAAACUGCGGUGAGUGGGUGGUUUGGAGACUCAGCAUUUCAUCAGGAACAGCUGACAGAAACCCAUCAACUUUGUUCAAGGCUUCCAACUGCCUAUUGGAAAGCCUUGCAGCGAAGCCAGUGAUUGCAGUUUCAUAGGUGUAAAGGAGCUCAGGGGCUGAUGCUUCUUCUCCUCCAUCUUCUUCAGCUGACAAUUCUGUGAUGGAAUCCAUCACUACUUCAUACCAUUUCUUGGAAUCCCCAAGAAUAUUGUCUAAAGCCGUGGUCUUGGCCUUGUCCAUGUGAACUACAUAAAUCUCUUUGUCUUCUGAAGCAAUUGAAAUAGCAGCGGCCAUGAAGACCACCAGCAACGAUGACAAUCUAUACACCAUGAUGAUGCCUGCAUGAAAAAAGAAAAUUUUGAUAUGAAUCCAAACAUAUAAUUUGACUGCUCAGUAAUGAAUUGUGCAGCAGACUCUCAAUCUGCACAUGGGGUACUGCAUGCCAUACAAUAGUUCAUGGAUGAACAGAUGAAGUAAUAACAGAUAGGGAAGCUCCAACUGAAAACCUGAGAAAGCUGGAGCUCUAAUGUCUUCUCAAACUACAAGUAUAUACCUCAAGUUAAAAGCUUAAAUUAUAAAAUGGGAUUAAUGAAGGAUGUAAAAUCAAAUUAAAAUUGUUAGAAGUACAAUUUUUUUUUUUUUGGUCAAACUGGCAACAAGCCCACUCUACUGUGCUUCUUGUGAGAAAAUUUGAACUGUUGAAGAUGCACAAAAUAUCAGUGAGAAAAAUGGUGAGGAUUUAGAAGCCAUGAAUAUCUAGACGCUUCUUCCAAAUAUUUAAACAGUCAAGUGGGCCAAGGUUUGGUUUGUCUGAUCUCUGGUUGCCAUAGGCUUUGCACAGUAAUUGCAAAGCUCAUUUGGAGAUCAAACCAAAGCAACCAACGCCCAUCUUUCUGACAAGACUGCAGGGUCAGGACCAAUGCAAGAAGAGAUGGGAUCAAAACCCAUCACAGAGGACAACAACAAAUGGGUCUAGGAGGUCAUCAUCCGACACCCAUAUAGAAAUAAGACUUAAGACCAUAGAGAGAGAGAGAGAGAGAGAGAGAGAGAGAGAGAUCCCUUCUUAUAUACCUACUUUUCUUCUCAAUCCAAAAGAGUGAGGAGUAACCAAUGCUGAGGAGAGUCUUAUAUAGCCAAAGAAAAAGACUGACAGAACUGAACAAAACAAGAUCCCACUCUGCUCCCUUGCCACUUUCUUUCCUUUUGUAAUUUAAUAAUGGCAUGCCUUGGAAAUAAAGCUUCCUAUCCACUUUGAGAUUCAGAGACAAGUUAUAUUGUUGAGUGGAGAAUGUUUACACGUUGAUAGUGGUGACAGUUGAUGGCGCUAAUUAUCCUUAGAAGCUUUUCAUUAGUGAAUUCCAAGUUUGCGUAUUCAAGGGGCCACCAUUUUUAUAUAAUGUAUGGCACAAUGUCAUUGUAGCAUGGAAGGAAGGGAGAGUGUCUUGUGGAGAAAAUGAUUUUGGAUGUCAUCGAUAUUACGGUUUCGUUGGGCAUUUUAAGCAAAUGUUUUUAGCAUAUAUAUAUAUAUAUAUAUAUAUAUAUUUAAAAAAACAAUAAGAGAUUUGACAAAAUUUUAAAAACUUUUAAAUAGUUUAAAAAUCACUUGUAGCUUUCCAUUUAUCCUAAAAAUAUUAAAAAAAAAAACAUUUUAAAUAUAAAUAUUAUUAUGCCCACAAAAGAUUUAAUACAAAUAAUGUUAAUUUUAGAACAUGUAGAUAAAACAAUCUAUAUAAAAAUACAUGAAAUUUUAAUGUGGUUCUACCAACCAUACUUAUAUCCAUAUUUGAUGGGAAAUCAUUCCAUUAUAUCAUAUAAAACAUUACAAAACAUAGAAAUUAAUUAGAUACAAUUAUUGGGUUUUGAAAACAUCUCAUAUUUAUAAUUGUUUCUCUUUAUUGUCCAAAAUACUAAAUCUUUUUCUGUAGCAACUCUGAUAAAAAAAAAUCAAAUAAAGAGUACUACACCUUUUGUAGUAUUUCGGGUAUCGUCCUUAAGGAUUGACUUAUGGAAUUUAUUAGUACUAAGAUAAAUGAAUCACUAUUAUUUAAAUCCUAAAGUGAAAAACCAAUGUGUGAAUUAACUUUUAUGAAGUGAAAUUAAGUAAAAGAAACUAAAUUAAUAAUAAAAUGAAUUUUAAUUUUUAAUUCAAUUGAUUCAAGUAUGGGGUUUUCAACAAUCUAACUUAAGGUAUAAAAACAUAGAGAACAAGGGUUUCUCAAGUAGAGUGAUCUUAGGGUUUUGGGAUCUUUAGUCGUUCGUGAUCAACUUGAGCUCUAUAAUUCAGAAUUGCAUCGGAAACCUAAUUUUUCAUUUUUUUUAAAAAUUCCUAAAAUCAUCAAAUAAAUGAAAAUAAUUAUUGGUUUAAUUACUCCUUAUAACUUUGUUUUAAUGCAGAUAACGAUAAGAAAUAUCAAGAUAACUAAUGACAAAGAGUUAUCAAGAAUCACUAGUGUCGGGUAAUAAUAUAUUGUGUAUCAUUCUUUAAACUAACUCACAAUGAUAAGAUCAAAAAUUAAUAAAUUGUAACUCAACUAUUAGUUAAUUUCAUUGUUAUAAUAAUUUACCCAAUAUCCUUAUAAGUUUUCUAGUCUUUAGGUUUUCAUACUUCAAGCCCCAAGUUGGCUUUAUAGCCUCUCAUGGAGGUGAUAUCUUAUUCAUAAUUCAUAAUAGAGUAAAAAUACAUAAUUUGAAUAAAAAGAAACUAAAAAUAAUAUAUUCAACAAAAAAGAAAAGAAACAAACCAAAAUUCUUGUCUUCUUUCCCACAAAAUGUCAAACUCCCAAAAAAUCCCUAAAUCCUAGAACUAAGAGAAUUCAUAUAGUAACCUCAAUGACUUUACAUGCGACACUCUUAUUGGCUACUUAUUAGAAAAAAAAUUCAUAAACAACCUAAAAAGACUCCAAAAAUUACGACUUCUAAAUAAGUAUGAUGCAUUUUGAAUUGAAUGGAGGCAUUUAAAACUCGUUUUCACGCAUUUUGGAGCUCAAACUUGAUCACCAAUGGUUGAGUUCAAAAUUUAGGUAAGUCCCAAAUGAAUUUCAAACUCAUAAGUGGUAGGAGAAAGCUCAAUUCGAAAUCAAGAUGGUGAGUUCGAAAUUCUCAUUGCCUAUGCAAAAUCUCCAUGUUUUUAAGUUUGAAAUGCAUGCCUUUCUUUGAAAUAAAUAGGAGGAUUCGAACUUAACAUUUUCUAAAAGUUUUCUUGCAUUUCUUUGAGUUUUGAAUGACCAAAAACCAUUUCAAAUUCAAAUUACCAAUUUCGAACUCAACUUUCCUCUCUGACCAAUUUGCUUUAAAUAUUCAUAACUUCCUCAUUUUAACUCUGAUUUGUGUACUGUUUGAAGCAUUGGAUUUUUUACUUCUCAAGCUUCAAAAUGAUAUAUGACUUGCCUAAUAUAGACUUUGGAAAGUACUCCAAAUUUCAUCUUAAAUUCAAAGUAUAUGUUACUACUAGAUUUUGAGUUUUAAAUUUCCAUGCAAACUUGAUGAAUUAAUUUUCCACCAUGCCUUAUUUCUCAUGUUUGUGUGCCUCAUUUCUUACUUCAUAAUGGUCAUUCCUCAUCUCCCAAACUCGCAAUUUCCUCAUCUUGCUUCUUCUCAUAUUUUAUGAGUCUUGGCUUAUUUUCUCAUUUAACCCCUUCUUACUCUUUCAACAUCUAAAAUAAUUCAAUUUGCACUAUUUUCUUCCUUUGAGCUAGAGAUAAAUCUUUAAAAUAUAAGUUAAACUCAUGACUAGGACCUUAACAUCGAUUUGGGUCAAGUCGGAUGAUUUGGGUCAAAUACACUCUUAAUCAUCCUCUUAUUUAUGAGUUCAAAUUGUUAUAUUGAUGGUUCUUGAUGGAUAUUUUACAAUUUUUUUUUCCUAAAACAAUUCAGUUAGAAAGAAAUAAUUUUUUUUUUCUUAAAUCAUGUUUCUCAAGAAAACAUUAGAGAAACUUUUUGUUUUUUUUGAAGGUUAUUUGAAUAAAAUAGUUGUAUAUAUAAAAUGUUUAAAAAAAAUUAAAAAUCAUUUAUAUUUCUUUAAAAGAUGCUUUUACAAAAAAAAAAGAAAAGUACUUCUAACUAAAAACAUUCUUGAUAAAAAAAUACUCAAUUACAUUCUUAAUCAUUAUGGUAUCUGUGAGCUUAAUUAUCAUAUUCAUUAUUCUUAAUGGGUAUUUUGACAUUUUUCCUCAAGUCGAUCGAAUGCGAUACCAUAUAUAUAUGACUGGGAAUAGGUUUUCCAUGUGGGACUUUUUCUUCUAUAAGCAAAUCAGAAGGCAAAGAAGACCCAUUACUUCUUCCAGAUUAUUCACCUUUACUUAGUGGGAGCUUGUUAGUGCUUAGAGAUUAAAGAGAUAAAAAUUACAAGGCAUAUAUAUAUAUAUAUAUAUAUAUAUGACUGGGAAAAGGUUUCCCAUGUGGGACUUUUUCUUCUCUCAGCAAAUGAGAAGGAAAGAAGCUAGACCCAUUACUUCUCCCAGAUUCACCUUUGCUUAGUGGGAACUUGUUAGUGGUUAAUUACAAGGAUAAAAUUCCCCAUGCUAGCCAUUAGAAGAUUCAUAUGAUUUCCCACUUUUGUAGUGCUAAAGCCCAGUGAGUUUUUUCUUAGACACCAAUUGCCUGGCUUAUGGUCGUCACCAACCCCAUUUUCCCGUACAGAGUUCUCAUUUUUUUAUGACUUAUCUUCACAAAAAUGCUACUGAAUUCAAAAGCUUGAAUCAUUUUUUCCCAAAGAGCAGCAAGUAGAGAUGAGGAGUGAGUUUUACUAAUGGAGUAUAACCACAUAAGAGAGGUGCCAAACGUUUAAUUUGGUCCGCAAAUCCAUGCCAUUUUUUUGUUCACCAAUUGUGGUAGUCUUGUUGCUGAACAAAAUCUAAUAACGUCUCAUUGGGAGCAGCUACUCAUGCUAAUGGGCUUUUCAUUUGUGACUUUCCGAGUCUUCCACUUACCACUACUCCUAAGGAUAGCCUUCUUGCCAUUAAUCGACAAAUAUUGAUGCGAAGGUAGUUGAGUAUACUUCUAGAAGAAUAAUAAAUAAUUAAACCAAAACAAUAAGAAUAAUAAUAAUAAAAAAGCCCUUGUUUUGAGGCAGCUUCUAACUUUUUACUUCUUCUAGAAGUUAGAAUUGUAGUCGAAGUUAAGAUUUUCAAAUCACAACAUUAAUAUUAUAAAAAAUUUAUUAAAUAUAAAAGAACUUUUUUAUGUAAGUCAAAUAGAAAUUUUAUAAAAAGUAACAUUUUUUUAUUUCUAUAUUAAAGUUUUUUUUUUGUUUUUUAUUUUUAUUUUUUUAAGUUAUGAAGUGUUUGAACAAAAUCAUGCAUAGAAGUUCUUAUUUUUUAGGUUAAAAAAGAGUUUUUGAUUUUUGAUUGAUUGGGAACAUGAAAAGAUGGGGAAUAAGGAGGGAAAGCUUAGAAGUAACAAAAGCUAAAAGAAACAUGGGUGAGUCGAAUUAAAUUUUCAAAUUCAUUCCAAUGAAAAAUCUAACAUCAUUUAGAUUUUUGAAAUUUUUCAUUAUAAUUUUUGCAUGUCUCUUAAUUUUUAAUUUCUAUCAAAUUAGUCAAAAUUAAUUCAACCAAUCCACAACCAUUGAAUAUUGAAUCUAUUUUGAAAAAUCUUAAGAUUAUAUUUGGUUAUUGGAAAGUAUUAAGGAAAGAAAAAAAAUGGUAAAAAAAAAAAAAUUCUCAUAUUUAAUUGUAUUAUGAAAAAUAUUAAUGAAAAACAAUUAAAAUUAUGUAGAAAUUUAUAUAUUUUUAAAUUAUUUAAUUUUUAUAUAAAAAAAUUAAAUAUAGAAAUGGUUUAUUAAAUUUAAUUUUUUAUUUUAUUUUUCUUCCUUUUACUUUCCUCUCACUUUAUCUCUAUAUUUUCUUUCUCACAUGUUUUCCCCACAUUUUGGAACCAAACAUAACAAAGGAAUUAUCAUAGGGAAAGUCAUGAAAAUUAUACUAUAAUACAAAAUUGGUUAAAAAGAUUGCAACAAACUCAAUGGAGGGGGAGGGGAAGGGGUGGAGAUUUAAUGGUGUAUUAAUUUUUAAAGAACAUCCUAAUGCUAUGUUUGAUUCUUAAAAAAUUUGAGAAAAAAUAUAAGACAAAGAAAAUAGAGAGGAAAAAUAGAAGGAAAGAAAAAAAUAAAAUAAAAAAAUAAAAUUAAUAAAUUAAUUUUACAUGUUAUUUUAAAUAUAUUUCACUUAUUGUAACUUUUUAAUAUAAAUAUUAAAUAAUUUGAAAAUGUAUAACUUUUUAAUUGUAUUUAAUAUUUUUUAAUAAGACAACCAAAUAAAAGAAAAAUAUUUUUCUUCAUAUUUUUUUUUUAAUACUUUUCAGAACCAAAUAUAAUUUAAAAGAAUUGAAUAUAUAUGAAAAGAGAAGAAGCAAAAAUUCUUCUUUAGUAAAGAUUAUGAAACAAUUUUUUAAGAAAAAAUUCUCUGACUUUAUUGUUUUUAUUUAUGAGAUCCUCUUAAGCUAUAAUAAAAUUAUGUUUAAUCAUAAAUCUAUAUAUAAUUUAUUCAUUAUUUAAUAUAAUAAUAAAAGUGAUAUAUUUAUGAGAAGUAUAUUGAAGGUUUUUUUUUUUAAAAAAAAUGAAAUUAAACUUUUGAAAUAAGGCCUUUAACUUUUGAAAUAAGGUUUUUUUUAGUGUAUAAAAUAAAAUUAGAAUUCUAAAUAAAAAAUCCAUUUAAUAAUUUUUAUUAUUAUAAUUAAAAUUGUUCAUACUGAAUUCACAUUAAAUUGUUAGUAAUCGUUAAGCAAUAAGUCUCUGAAAUUUAGGAAACACAGCUUAAUAUAAAAUUUGCAUAACAUAUUUCCAAGUUACAACACGCUUGCUUAGUAUAAACACCAUCCACAAGACACAAGACCUAUUUCUUCUUGCCCUUGAUCAUAUUCUUACUUUCUUACAACAGUCAUCAACUGAUAAUUAUUCAUUAUAAUAUAGUAAUAGACUCAGGUUCAGGGUGGGUCUUCCACCUAAAACCUACUGCCAAGUCACUGCAAUAGGACUUCUAACUGAAUAUCUGCUGGACACCCAAACAAGAGAUCCAAAAGAUGAAUCUGAUGAACUUGAUUUCUCUCCCGAAUCAACAAAACUUACCUUGUAGCUCAGUUUCUGGCCCUUCUGGUUGAACUUUAAAACCUUAGGCUCAACGAUGACUGAUACUCCUUCAGGCUCAUGGGCCUGCGCCACAUAAGUAGUAGUAGGGUACCCAAUAUUUGUUACGGUUCUUUUGUAUGUGGCGCUGUUGUUGUGGGAAUCUCCAUCGAAAAGUACAGCAAAUGAAGGGUAGUUCAAGUCACCCGUUUGAAGAUCUGUGUCUGUGGGGCAACUGAAGUUCCCCCUUGAUAGUGUAGCCAUCUCAGAAGAUGAAUACUUGAGACUACACAGAUAGUAGAGAUAGUCCUCAUAGCCGAUAUCAUAAAUCAGUCCUGGGUUAGAGGCUUUCUCAGGAUCGACAUGGCCUGAACCAUGCGCAAAUGGGGUGGCUGAUGGGCUCUCCGAACCGGUAUCUGAGAUGGGAGCUUUCUUGUUGUCUAGAGUGUAAGCGGUUGUCAUUAGGGCUGACUUGAUGGCCGCAGGUGACCAGUCUUGGUGUGCUCCUUUGAUGAUUGCAGCUAAGCCACUAACGUGAGGACAAGACAUGGAUGUUCCUGAAAUUACAUUAAAUAGUACACUUCUGUUGUCGCUCUUGAUCCCGGAUGGGCCCACUGUCGGCGGCCAGGCGGCCAGUAUGUUCACUCCCGGGGCUGUCACAUCGGGCUUGAUCACAUAAGGUUCUAAAAGUGCAGGGCCUCUUGAGGAGAAUGAUGCCAUCACUGGUGCUGGCUUGCCAAACACUGUCCCAUUGAAAACAAUGGAAGCAGUGGGAUUCCCCGAGCUGAUGUAGUUUCUUAUGGAUUUAGAUGCAGAGGCCCCC